rnacentral:rRNA from 1 species
GGGUUGGAUUAAAUCCUUUGGGAUAAGGUAUCAUGGAGGGUGAGAAUCCCGUGUAUACCAACCACUGGAAUGUUAUUAAUACGAUUUCUAAGAGUCGAGUUGUUUGGGAAUGCAGCUCUAAAUGGGUGGUAAAUUUCACCUAAUGCUAAAUAUAAGCGAGAGACCGAUAGUGAACAAGUACCGUGAGGGAAAGAUGAAAAGAACUUUGAAAAGAGAGUUGAAUAGUACGUGAAAUUGUUGAAAGGGAAACGGUUGAAGUCAGUCAUGCCGGUGGGAAUCAACUUAGGGGAAACUCUGAGUGCACUUCUUCACUUGGCAGGUUAGCGUCGAUUUUGAAUGUCAUAAAAUGACUAGGGGAAGGUAGCUCCUUCGGGAGUGUUAAGCCCUUAGUAGAUGUGAUGUUCUAGAUCGAGGAUUGCAACGGAUACCCUUUGGGCUAGCCGCCUGGUCUCUAAUACGAAGUUGGGUACGGACAGCAUGCUGACCGUGAUCUAAUUUUCGGUUAAAAGAUUAGAGCGAGUGUAAAUUCGUUAAGGACGCUGACGUAAUGGCUUUAAACGACCCGUCUUGAAACACGGACCAAGGAGUCUAACAUGUAUGCGAGUGUUAGGGUAAUAAACCCAGACGCGAAAUGAAAGUGAGUGUAGGUGGGAUCCUUUAUUGGAGCACCAUCGACC